ensembl:snRNA U5 U5 spliceosomal RNA
AUAUUGUGGUUUCUCUUCAGAUCGUAUGAAAUUUUCGUCUUUUACUGAAGAUUUCCGUGGAGAGAAACAGUUUUGAGAGUUUGCCUUAUUUUUUGAGGCUGUGUAUUUUAGCGGGGG